GUUGCCGGAUCUCCCGGUGGAACAAUGGCACAUGGAAAGAGCGCACAGGGCCCUGCGCGCAAGAAGAUCAGAUUCCCAAGGGACGUGAUAAUUAGUUUCCUCUACUUUCAAACCAAAGAAACCCUCAUGAGGAGAUGCAGAGAAGUGAAGAUCCACCACAAUGGCACAGAACUUCAAGUAUACCAAGACCUGGCACCCAGCACUCUCCAGAGACGGAGGGAGUGGAGACC